rnacentral:rRNA from 2 species
AGAUUAAGUUAUUAAGGGCGCACGGUGGAUGCCUUGGCACUAGAAGCCGAUGAAGGACGUUACUAACGACGAUAUGCUUUGGGGAGCUGUAAGUAAGCUUUGAUCCAGAGAUUUCCGAAUGGGGAAACCCAGCAUGAGUUAUGUCAUGUUAUCGAUAUGUGAAUACAUAGCAUAUCAGAAGGCACACCCGGAGAACUGAAACAUCUUAGUACCCGGAGGAAGAGAAAGAAAAUUCGAUUCCCUUAGUAGCGGCGAGCGAAAUGGGAAGAGCCCAAACCAACAAGCUUGCUUGUUGGGGUUGUAGGACACUCUAUACGGAGUUACAAAGGACGACAUUAGACGAAUCAUCUGGAAA